AGCGAACGCUGGCGGCGUGCUUAACACAUGCAAGUCGAGCGAGAAAGGGGGCCUCGGGCCCCUGAGUACAGCGGCGAACGGGUGAGUAAUACAUGAGCAAUCUAUCCGUUGAGGCGGGAAUAACCCAGCGAAAGUUGGGCUAAUACCGGAUGAGACCACAGGAGGAAACUCCAAGGGGUCAAAGGCAGCUUUCUUUUGGGAGCGGCCCUUCGAAGAGGAGCUCAUGUCCUAUCAGCUAGUUGGUAGGGUAACGGCCUACCAAGGCGAAGACCGGGUAGCUGGUCUUAGAGGAUGAUC
rnacentral:rRNA from 1 species